AGUGAACGCUGGCGGUAGGCCUAACACAUGCAAGUCGAACGGCAGCACAGUAAGAGCUUGCUCUUACGGGUGGCGAGUGGCGGACGGGGGAGGAAUACAUCGGAAUCUACUUUUUCGUGGGGGAUAACGGAGGGAAACUUACGCUAAUACCGCAUACGACCUACGGGUGAAAGCAGGGGAUCUUCGGACCUUGCGCGAUUGAAUGAGCCGAUGUCGGAUUAGCUAGUUGGCGGGGUAAAGGCCCACCAAGGCGACGAUCCGUAGCUGGUCUGAGAGGAUGAUCAGCCACACUGGAACUGAGACACGGUCCAGACUCCUACGGGAGGCAGCAGUGGGGAAUAUUGGACAAAGGGCGCAAGCCUGAUCCAGCCAUACCGCGUGGGUGAAGAAGGCCUUCGGGUUGUAAAGCCCUUUUGUUGGGAAAGAAAAGCAGCAGGUUAAUACCCCGCUGUUCUGACGGUACCCAAAGAAUAAGCACCGGCUAACUUCGUG
rnacentral:rRNA from 1 species